rnacentral:rRNA from 1 species
UACGUAGGUGACCAGCGUUGUCCGGAUUUACUGGGCGUAAAGGGCGCGUAGGCGGCGCCGCAAGUCGACUGUGAAAUCUCCGGGCUUAACCCGGAAAGGUCAGCCGAUACUGCGGGGCUAGAGUGCAGAAGGGGCAACUGGAAUUCUCGGUGUAGCGGUGAAAUGCGUAGAUAUCGAGAGGAACACCUGCGGCGAAGGCGGGUUGCUGGGCUGACACUGACGCUGAUGCGCGAAAGCUAGGGGAGCGAACGGG